GACGAACGCUGGCGGCGUGCUUAACACAUGCAAGUCACGGGGGCUCGCAAGGGCAACCGGCGAACGGGUGCGUAACACGUGAGCAACUUACCGAUUUGUGGGGGAUAGCCGGCCCAACGGCCGGGUAAUACCGCAUACGCUCUUUGGGUGGAGUCACCUGAAGAGGAAACCUCCGGGGCAAAUCGAGGGGCUCGCGGCCUAUCAGCUAGUUGGUGCGGGUAACGGCCCACCAAGGCGAUGACGGGUAGCGGUCUGAGAGGAUGGCCAGCCACAUUGGGACUGAGAAACGGCCCAGACUCCUACGGGAGGCAGCAGUGGGGAAUCUUGCGCAAUGGCCGAAAGGCUGACGCAGCGACGCCGCGUGUGGGAGGAAGCUCUUCGGGGUGUAAACCACUGUUGCCCGGAACGAAUGUCAGGAUUUUGUCCUGAUUGACGGUACCGGGUGAGGAAGCACCGGCUAACUCUGUGCCAGCAGCCGCCGUAAG
rnacentral:rRNA from 1 species